rnacentral:rRNA from 1 species
GUCGAGAAUAAUUCACAAUGGACGAAGGUCUGAUGGUGCAACGCCGCGUGGAGGAUGACGGUCUUCGGAUUGUAAACUCCUGUCAUCCGGGAGUAAGACCUGGCUGUGAAUAGCAGACAGGGUUGAUAGUACCGGAAGAGGAAGGGACGGCUAACUUCGUGCCAGCAGCCGCGGUAAUACGAAGGUCCCGAGCGUUGUUCGGAAUCACUGGGCGUAAAGGGAGCGUAGGCGGCGUGGUAAGUCAGAUGUGAAAUCCCGGGGCUCAACCCCGGAACUGCAUCCGAUACUGCCGUGCUAGAGGAUUGGAGAGGUAGCUGGAAUUCUUGGUGUAGCAGUGAAAUGCGUGGAGAUCAAGAGGAACACUCGUGGCGAAAGCGAGCUACUGGACAAUAUCUGACGCUGAGGCUCGAAGGCCAGGGUAGCGAAAGGGAUUAGAAACCCCUGUAGUCC